UCCCCACCCUUCAAAAUAAGUAUGAUCCACGGUCAGAGCCACUCUCCGUUUCAAAGAAACUGUUUCAUUUUAUUUAAACGUUUAACAAAUAACUUCUAUGUUUUUCUGUCAUCCACCUAAUUUCUCCUUUAGCAGUAUUCUUAUCUCUUUAUCUUUCCUUCCCUCUUAGUACUUGGAAAAAGACAAUUCUUCAACAGUGGUCUCUACCCCGAGGCAGACGGGAAAAGCCGGUCUUGUUCUCCAGGUGAUGACAGACUUCCUGUUGGCGUACCUCUUGCCCAUGUCCUUUUUAUUCAUCUUCCAAAUCGAUCUUUUUUCUGUUGGCCUUUGUCCACCUCCUGUUUCACGCAGGCUCAUUUGCUACUGGCAGUUUGAAUGGUAAACCUAAAAUAGUUUAGUUCCUGUGACUUCAUUCAAAGGCUUGUCUCGAAAUCCUUGGCUCCCUUCCUCGGCCUGUACAAGGGACCUGAUACCUAAACAAAUAGGAACGGGGUUUCUCCUAAAAUAACGCUCAAUACUUAACCUAAUCAAAUGGCAUCCAUUUGAAUACAAUGACAGUAACUCAAGCUAGUUAAUGUCAGUGACAUUAAACCAACUCCAGGAUUCAGGAGUUUUAAUGUUAGGAUUUAGAGUUAGCAGGUAGAGUGUGGCUUCACCUCUCUGCGGUAGCCCAGCUCUCCCCGUCCCUGUGAGAGGCUGUCUUCCUGCCUUCGGGGCAGCGGCAGUAGGGCCUUUGCUCAGCUUCCGUUCUCUUGUGCGUUAGGUCUGUUGCUUAUCCAACCGUUCCAGAGUCUGGAGACUCUUUAGCUUUUUAUUUUCUGCUAAGAAGGUGGCACUGGUGUUUGGGGUUUGCUAUUGGUUUUCUGUUGCUUAUCCAACCGUUCCAGAGUCUGGAGACUCUUUAGCUUUUUAUUUUCUGCUAAGAAGGUGGCACUGGUGUUUGGGGUUUGCUAUUGGUUUUCUGUUUUGUUUUGUUUUCCUUUUUGUUCUUGGAGCUUUUGUUUCUGUUUUCUGGGUAAGGCUUACCUUGUUUUUAGUUUCUAUUCAAUGGCACAGAAAAAUCAGAAGGUUUCUUUUCUUCCAAAAUGAUUUAGCACUUAAAGGAGAUUAACUUGCGGAUCAUUAAUCCUAAUACUCUUGAGGAUGUGUUCCCCUUCUGCAUAUGCGGUUAAUUUGUGAGUUUUACUGCUAAGCCAUUGUAUCUCUCUAUCACUGGGAAGUUGUAGAAACUUCUGCCCAUGAUCUGUUGCUUUAUUUAAGGAGCUGCUGUUGCCUCCAGGAAACUCAAGAAUUUUGUAUGAGCUUUUUUUUUUCUUUCACCUCCUUUCUUUGCUCCUCAUGUUCUUCAAACCAGUGUUUUGGAAGUAUGCAUGCAAGCCUAUAAAUGAAGACCACAGGUCUUCAUGUAUGUAGCAUGUGUAUUAUAGUGUCUAGCUACAUCUGCAAACACCUUAUUCAGAGGUUUGGAUUAACAUUUCACAUGCACAUUUCAAAACAAAAGUUUUUCAGCCGUUAAACACCCCCCUUACCAAGAAGAGCAGCAUGGGCUACAUUUACCCCAAUAACAGCUACUGUUUGUUUUAAAAGUGAAUUUAAUUAUAUGUUAUACAAUAUUAUGACUACCACUGUGCAAGAAAUAAAGAAAAAGAACUUCUAUUUUCAUGAAAGUAUUUUUCAUCAGUCAUUGGUCUCAGAUAUAAGUGAAAAUACAAACUUUCUGAAUACUGUACUGUCUGAGGCACUACCUGACUUUUAAAUGUGUAGUAAAAAGAAGCUAAAUUUCUCCUUCCACUUGGUAUUUCAAGAAGAUUGAAAAUAUUCCACGUAAAAAUGAUUUGCACAAGUGAAAAGCCUGUGUGUGCACGAGAAGGAUGUCUUGGUUAUAUGUAGAGUCAUCUCACAGCACCAGUUUUCCUGUUUGGAAUUAUAAGAUGACACUGUUCUCUUUGAUUUAAAAAAAAAUCAUAACAUUUGAUACGAUCAAGGUGUAACCACUAUUGAUAUUUAGGAGACAUUUUAAAAGACCAUAAACUGACAUUGGAAAGAACACCAUGGUAGACUUUUUGUAAAUUUAUUUUGUAUUUAAUUAAAUUCAGUAUAAAGGCUGGUGAAGUGUAAUAUAAUUGUGUAAACAAAUCCUGUUAAUAGAGAGAUGUACAGAUUCGUUUUGUACUGUAUCUUGAAACUUGUGAAAUAAAGAUUCCACCUCUGGUUAUCCUGUAUGCUAAUCAUGUACCAUGGCCAGGCACCACUCCACACAGACUUUUUUAAAAACCUGAAUGAUUCAAUUUUUUAAUGAACCUUUUGGAUUUUCAGAAGCUUCUGGAAAAACAUUCAUUGGGGGCGCUUUGAAUCCAUCUUAAAUUUACUUUUAGCUAUUGAAAUUCAGAUUUCUGUAAGUUGAGUAUUAUCCUCCGGAGUACUGAGAAUAUACACUUGCCAAGAAGCGUUUCCAUGUUUAAAUCCCUGAGAUCUUGGACCUGAGUUGGCCUGUGAUAGUAAGCGUGAUUCACUUUAAUCCUGAUUUUACUAAAACUUAGCUACAGUGUGUUUAGGCGUUGCCUUUUCCCAGAAGGUUUUUACAGAGCUGCAUACCAUGCAGCACAGUGAAAUGUGCAUAGCAUGAGUAAGAGCUCAGUAAAGGGGAAACAAAGGAGAAAACAGUAUUGAAUCAGGAGUGAACACUGUACAGAGAUGCACGUCAGAGCUGGGCUACAGACACAGCCCUGACGUCCUCGAAGCCAACUCAAAAGAAGUUGUUCAGCUUAGAAGCAGCAGAUCCUUUUAAAAAGUCUGGAUGAUGCAGAUUGUGGCAGGUGAGAAGUCGCACCUCAGAUUUUACUUCUGGGAAGACAGUCAGCCACCCAAGGUGACCUUGACUAACUUUGACUGAAAUCAGAGUCGUGAGGAAGUUGCACAUCAGCUGAAACGUCCAUAGUGUGUCCGUUCCGCCUGGCGCUGGGCGUGAUCCCUGGUUGCCAGUUCACCCCUUUCUGACAAGUCAGUAAAACGAGUCCUGGGGCUUCACUGGAUCCAGCCUGGAGAAACAGCCUCUCCCUGUUCCUUGUACAACACUAAUUUUGAUUGGCCACACUAACCCUGAAAUUUAGGAGACAUUUAAAAGACCAUAAACUGACAUUGGAAAGAACACCAUGGUAGACUUUUGUAAAUUUAUUUUGUAUUUAAUUAAAUUCAGUAUAAAGGCUGGUGAAGUGUAAUAUAAUUGUGUAAACAAAUCCUGUUAAUAGAGAUGUACAGAUUCGUUUUGUACUGUAUCUUGAAACUUGUGAAAUAAAGAUUCCACCUCUGGUUAUCCUGUAUGCUAAUCAUGUACCAUGGCCAGGCACCACUCCACACAGACUUUUUAAAACCUGAAUGAUUCAAUUUUUAAUGAACCUUUUGGAUUUUCAGAAGCUUCUGGAAAAACAUUCAUUAGGGCGCUUUGAAUCCAUCUUAAAUUUACUUUUAGCUAUUGAAAUUCAGAUUUCUGUAAGUUGAGUAUUAUCCUCCGGAGUACUGAGAAUAUACACUUGCCAAGAAGCGUUUCCAUGUUUAAAUCCCUGAGAUCUUGGACCUGAGUUGGCCUGUGAUAGUAAGCGUGAUUCACUUUAAUCCUGAUUUUACUAAAACUUAGCUACAGUGUGUUUAGGCGUUGCCUUUUCCCAGAAGGUUUUACAGAGCUGCAUACCAUGCAGCACAGUGAAAUGUGCAUAGCAUGAGUAAGAGCUCAGUAAAGGGGAAACAAAGGAGAAAACAGUAUUGAAUCAGGAGUGAACACUGUACAGAGAUGCACAUCAGAGCUGGGCUACAGACACAGCCCUGACGUCCUCGAAGCCAACUCAAAAGAAGUUGUUCAGCUU
rnacentral:lncRNA from 1 species